UACGGAGGAUCCAAGCGUUAUCCGGAAUCAUUGGGUUUAAAGGGUCCGUAGGCGGGUCUAUAAGUCAGUGGUGAAAGUCUUCCGCUCAACGGGAGAACUGCCAUUGAUACUGUAGGUCUUGAGUCAUUAUGAAGUGGUUAGAAUGAGUAGUGUAGCGGUGAAAUGCAUAGAUAUUACUCAGAAUACCGAUUGCGAAGGCAGAUCACUAAUAAUGUACUGACGCUGAUGGACGAAAGCGUAGGUAGCGAACAGG
rnacentral:misc_RNA from 1 species